rnacentral:rRNA from 1 species
GUAUAGGGCGUACCAGCCUGAAUGUGCCUGAUUUCAUCUGAUCUUGGAGGCUAAGCAGGGCCGGGCCUGGUUAGUGCUUGGUGGAGAGAUCUGGGAAUACUGGGUGCUGUAGACU